rnacentral:sRNA from 1 species
ACUGGGUGCAGUGGUGCACACCUGUAAUCCCAACAGCUCAGGAGGCUGAGGCAGGAGAAUCAAUGAGUCCAAAGCCAGCCUCCGCAACUUAGCAAGGCCCUAAGCAACUAAGAGAGACCCUGUCUCUA